rnacentral:rRNA from 1 species
AGGAAGUGGGGAUGACGUCAAGUCAUCAUGGCCCUUACGGCCUGGGCUACACACGUGCUACAAUGGUCGGUACAAAGGGUUGCCAAGCCGCGAGGUGGAGCUAAUCCCAUAAAACCGAUCGUAGUCCGGAUUGGAGUCUGCAACCCGACUCCAUGAAGUUGGAAUCGCUAGUAAUCGCGCAUCAGCAUGGCGCGGUGAAUACGUUCCCGGGCCUU